CAAAACCAAAUAGUUGUCUGAAAAAAAGUAAUUAUAAAAUAAGAAAAGCAACUAAAAUGUCUCAUUCGACCAAUCCAGGAGUGGAAACAUCGAGAUGACCCUACCUUGCCGGAGAAGAUGUCGUCGUCGCCGAUGGUUCGAAAUGUGAUCCUGUAGCUGAAUGUUGCAUUCUGGUGGAUAGAUCUGAGUAUUAGAUAGGUUCCACUCUUUCCUCUCGUGGAUGAUUGGCGAGGCUGCUGUAAAGUCAUUCCAGGGUGAGCACGAUGUUGGCCGCUGCUCGGAUGUUCUUUCCUUUACUUACUUGUCUUGCUCUUAUUUCGAGACAGUUGUAUUAUGAGACAUUAUCAUCUUUCAGUCUUAUAGUAUGUAGUUAGUGCUCUUAUAAGACCAGACCAGAUCUAUGGGGUUGUAUUAGUAUUUUUGCACUUUAUCUUAUGUGGAUGGUUUGAGACUUA